UCAUUCAAGUGUCUGCCCUUUCCCUUUCGUCGGUACGGUAUUUGCCUACCGAGGUUCUUACGGGUGACGGGGAAUCAGGGUUCGAUUCCGGAGAGGGAGCCUGAGAAACGGCUACCACAUCCAAGGAAGGCAGCAGGCGCGCAAAUUACCCAUUCCCGACGCGGGGAGGUAGUGACGAAAAAUAACAAUGCAGGACUCGUUCGAGGCCCUGUAAUUGGAAUGAGUACACUUUAAAAGCUUUAACGAGUAUCCAUUGGAGGGCAAGUCUGGUGCCAGCAGCCGCGGUAAUUCCAGCUCCAAAAGUAUAUAUUUAAGUUGUUGCGGUUAAAAAGCUCGUAGUUGGAUUUUGGGCGCAGGCGGCCGGUCCGUCGCAAGGCGUGUACUGGACGUCCUGGCCUUCCCUCCGGUUCUCCGCCGGUGCUCUUGACUGAGUGUCGGCGGCGGCCGGAACGUUUACUUUGAAAAAAUUAGAGUGUUCAAAGCAGGCUCUCGAGCCUGGAUAAUGGUGCAUGGAAUAAUGGAAUAGGACCUCGGUUCUAUUUUGUUGGUUUUCGGAGCGCGAGGUAAUGAUUAAGAGGGACAGACGGGGGCAUUCGUACUGUGCCGUUAGAGGUGAAAUUCUUGGAUCGGCGCAAGACGAACGACUGCGAAAGCAUUUGCCAAGAAUGUUUUCUUUAAUCAAGAGCGAAAGUCAGAGGUUCGAAGACGAUCAGAUACCGUGG
rnacentral:ncRNA from 1 species